rnacentral:rRNA from 1 species
UACGGGGGGGGCAAGCGUUGUUCGGAAUUACUGGGCGUAAAGGGCGCGUAGGCGGCCAUCUAAGUCAGACGUGAAAUCCCCCGGCUCAACCUGGGAACUGCGUCUGAUACUGGGGAGGCUAGAGUUUGGGAGAGGGAUGUAGAAUUCCAGGUGUAGCGGUGAAAUGCGUAGAUAUCUGGAGGAAUACCGGUGGCGAAGGCGGCAUCCUGGACCAAUACUGACGCUGAGGCGCGAAAGCUAGGGGAGCAAACGGG